rnacentral:lncRNA from 1 species
UUUCGUCUCAGCUCCACAUCCAGGUUGAAGAGGAUAUCGCAUCCAGGACUUGGCCUCUCGUGGUACCUCUUAAAGCCAUUGGUUACCAGGUGAAACAGGCGACCUCCACGCAUGCUCCGUUAGCCAAGGCAAUUCCUUGGCUAAGCCUGGGUGAGGGGUGAAUAGAAACACCCCUCUUCUGGCUACUAAAUAGCCAGAGAUGGAGAGAGCAGGCCUGUGCCCUUCUUUGAAGCAAGAACACUGUCAGAAUCCCUGAAGUAUGAUCAUCUUCUCAAAAACAAACAAAAAAAAAGAAGUUAAUUUACUCUAGUAUUAGGAAUUCUCACUGGCUCCUACUGAUCACGGCGUCCUUUUAUAUAAAGCCCCCUUUAAACAAUCCAUCCAUAUGCCCUAGGAUUUAUGAAGUGGCUGCUCUGAAUUUUUGAGAACCCCUGUCCAUCUCUCUUCUGCACUCAGAAUCUUUUCUUGGGUCUGGCGUGGGUCAGCUCGGCUUGCCAUGCUCCCUCGAAGAUGAUGCAACUCUGUACUCACCUGGCCAAAAUCUCUCAACACUCAAUAAACGUGACACCCUCUCUGAUAAGAGGCUCCUUCCAAACCGUUAGCUGUUUCUUCACAGAAGGUGCUGGGACCUACUGUUUCCUUUGGGAACCACACAGGUAGAAAGCUGGAGAAACUGCCAUUUGUACCUGCAUCAGGUGGUACUGCACAUGUGUGAUCCCAGCAUCCCAGACACUAGGGCAGAAGAGCCGUGAACUCAAGGACAGCCUGGCCUACACAGGGAGACCCUGUGCCAAAGAAAAGGAGGCAAGGGAGGAGG